rnacentral:rRNA from 1 species
UAGGGAAUCUUCGGCAAUGGACGAAAGUCUGACCGAGCAACGCCGCGCGAGUGAAGAAGGUUUUCGGAUCGUAAAACUCUGUUGUUAGAGAAGAACAAGGACGUUAGUAACUGAACGUCCCCUGACGGUAUCUAACCAGAAAGCCACGGCUAACUACGUGCCAGCAGCCGCGGUAAUACGUAGGUGGCAAGCGUUGUCCGGAUUUAUUGGGCGUAAAGCGAGCGCAGGCGGUUUCUUAAGUCUGAUGUGAAAGCCCCCGGCUCAACCGGGGAGGGUCAUUGGAAACUGGGAGACUUGAGUGCAGAAGAGGAGAGUGGAAUUCCAUGUGUAGCGGUGAAAUGCGUAGAUCUAUGGAGGAACACCAGUGGCGAAGGCGGCUCUCUGGUCUGUAACUGACGCUGAGGCUCGAAAGCGUGGGGAGCAAACAGG